AACGCACAUUGCGCCCUUUGGUAUUCCGAAGGGCAUGCCUGUUCGAGCGUCAUUAUAACCACUCAAGCCUUUGCUUGGUAUUGGGGUUCGCGGUCUCGCGGCCCCUAAAAUCAGUGGCGGUGCCUGUCGGCUCUACGCGUAGUAAUACUCCUCGCGAUUGAGUCCGGUGGGUAGCUUGCCAACAACCCCCCAUUUUUUCAGGUUGACCUCGGAUCAGGUAGGGAUACCCGCUGAACUUAA
rnacentral:misc_RNA from 1 species